GUCAUAUUAUCCUGGUAGCACAUAUCCUCAGCCAGCCUAUAGCCACUGCUUUGACUUCCCAAGGGAAAUAACACAAUAGUUCAGGCAAAAUUAUUUUAUUUACCUGAAUGUGAUAUGUUUCUCAAACCAUGUCAGACUUACCUGUUUGGUUGAGCAAGUCCCCAUAGAGGUAUAAGGUGCCUUUGGCCCCUAAUAAAUGAGACUAGAAAUGAAAUUAAAAGCCACUUCAUUGGCUUUGUCCACUUUUUUCCCCCCUCAAUUAUAUCCAAUUUUCAAUUAUCUGAUCUAGACCUUAGCACCCCAAUGCUGAAAAAAUUUCAGGAUAAAAGAUGGAAGAAAGAAAGGUCUCACCUAAACACCUGAACUUACAGGCCUAAGGUAAUCUUAGGCAUCCUUUCUUUGGGAAGCACUGCAAUUCUCAUUGGCUUUCUAAUUUCUUCCUCCUAAAUCAAAAGAGACUCUGAAAUCUUCUACUACCCACUGGUAGAGAAGGAAAAGAAGUCACCAUUGGUCUGAAUUCCAAAAAGGUUCCAUUGAACCCAAGGGCUCAGAAUGUUAACCCUUCCCUUUAUGAUGUGGCAAACUCUUCCAUAGCUCAGUGGUCCGAUAACAAUCCUUAGACCUACAUUAACCUAUGUCAGUGCCCCAUCCUGAGUGUGAAGUGGUGCAAGAGAGGAGAGAAGAGAGGACCUUGGGCCUAAUGAUAGCCAAGCACCUACCCUGUACAAUUGGCACAUAAAAGAACUACGACGGAAAUCCAGUUCAAGAUAAUAACCCAACAACCCAGCCAACUCAGGAACUAGAACACUGUCAAGAGGUUACUUCUACUCCAAAUCUACCUCCUUGCUUGGGUGCCCAACCCCCAGAGAUGCAAAACCUGGGAACAAAAUAAGAUACCUAUUCAAUCGCAAAGUGCUCCCUCUGCCUUGCUUUUCUGGGACCCCAAAACAUUCCUGUUGUGAAAACUGCAAGAAAAAACCCUGGCUCUGCCAAACAGAAUUCAACCAAGGACCUCAAGAUGUUAUGCUGAGUAUUACAUUGAAAUAA
rnacentral:lncRNA from 13 species